UAUCAGAAUUACACCAGAUU
rnacentral:piRNA from 1 species